UAUGCAUAUUAUGACAAAGGGAAAUUGGCAGGUUAAAAUUUAGUUUAUUAUGACGUCGAUUAUAAGUAAUAUGAUCUUGAUAAGGUCAUGUAGCUUUUCAGAUAAGUGUUCUAUUUAAUAACUUGUUCAUUGGGCUUAGUAUAUCAGUAUACUACAAGGGAGUCAAUAAGACAGGAUCAUAACUGUACUUUACUAAAGGAACACAAACAAAAUGGCGUCCAAAACAAAGUUAACACAGUUCAGACGUCGUUACCUUUCUGAAUCUAAAAUAUCUGUGAUACAGUUCCCAAUACCAUGUCAACUUGGAGAAGUGUACAGAACCAUUGCAGACACAUAUUUCAAUGAACCAACCACAGAAAACGUACCUCACUAUAAAUCUUUGGAACUUGUGUUUAGUGGCAGCGGACGAAACAUACUGAAGAUGUUAUACAUGUUCUACGUACUAAAGGAAUACACAUGAAAUCACACUACAUUAAUUGAGUAAUAUUAAACCUAAAAGAAUCUCAGGGACAUCCUUUACAGUAGAUGAUCAAAGAAAGAUAGGUGUAACCUGUAAGAUACUGCUAUGUCGAGACAAGGUUUAUCCAGCAGUGAAGAGCAAUGAUUUCAACAACAUUUGAGAAAGAUGUUUUAAUUUAUCUUGGAGUUCGGUAUUGGUGUCAGUACUUUAUUUUCGUUGAAGUUUUCAAACUAGUAGCAAAAUGAUGUGACAUUGUUGAAAUUCAGUUGGAAUACCAUGAAUACCGUGUGAAGCAAUUGAAGAGCUGAUUAACUCUUGAUUUAAACAAAAACUAAAUUUUGUAAUCGCAAAUAAAUUAGAAUAUUGCAUUGUGUUUUUUUUCCUUCGUUCAUCCAUAUCUUUGAUAAAAAAUUCAUUUAUGAA